GAGUAUGUAGCCGUGGGCUUUAGCUCUGCAAAGGCUAAUG
rnacentral:tRNA from 1 species